GACGAACGCUGGCGGAGUGCUUAACACAUGCAAGUCGAACGGAAAGGCCUGUUUCGGGGGGUUCUCGAGUGGCGAACGGGUGAGUAAUACGUGGGUACCUUGCCCUUCACUUUGGGUUAACUUCCGGAAACUGGGCCUAUUACCGGAUAGGUGCUCCUGUUGCAGGGGGGGGGUUGGAGAGUUUGGGCGGUUGGGGAUGGCUUGGCGGCUUAUCGGCUUGUUGGUGGGGUAGUGGCUUACCAAGGAGUUGCCGGGAAGCCGGCCUGAGAGGGUGAGCGGCCACAUUGAGACUGAGGGGAGGCCCAGGUGCCGACGGGAGGAAGCAGUGGGGAAGAUUGCACAAGGGGUGCAGGCCGGAUGCAGCAAGGCCGCGUGCGGGAUGACGGCCUUGGGGUGGUAGAACGCGUUCGCUCAUGACGAAGCUUUGUGUGACGGUAGUGGAUAAAGAAGCACCGGCUAACUACGUG
rnacentral:rRNA from 1 species